rnacentral:rRNA from 1 species
UACGGGGGGAGCAAGCGUUGUUCGGAUUUACUGGGCGUAAAGGGCGCGUAGGCGGCUUGACAAGUCAGUUGUGAAAUCUCCGGGCUUAACCCGGAGCGGCCAAGUGAUACUGUCGUGCUAGAGUGCGGAAGGGGCUACUGGAAUUCUCGGUGUAGCGGUGAAAUGCGUAGAUAUCGAGAGGAACACCUGCGGCGAAGGCGGGUAGCUGGGCCGACACUGACGCUGAUGCGCGAAAGCCAGGGGAGCGAACGGG